UCGCCCGCCGCGCGCGGCGGGCGGGGCGGGGGCACGGGGGGCCUACGGGAGGCAGCAGUGAGGAAUCUUGCGCAAUAGGGGAAACCCUGACGCAGCAACGCCGCGUGGGUGAAGAAGGCCUUCGGGUCGUAAAGCUCUGUCAAGUGGGAAAAAAGCUUACUGGCAAAUAGCCAGGAAGACUGAUGGUACCAUUGAAGGAAGCACCGGCUAACUCCGUGCCAGCAGCCGCGGUAAUA
rnacentral:rRNA from 1 species